GGAAGGGUCUCUUUUCUGGAGAUCCUUCCUUUGGAGUUUUAUAGUAAGUCCAGGACAAGGCUCACUAAAUUGAUGAUUUUUCCCCACUGCGUGAUACCAUUUUGAAAUAAGCGAAGGAUGGUGUCUAUAUUCAGUAAGGAUGUGCAGGAAGGAUGAUAACAGGAUCAAGGAAUCUUUUAAGUUGGAAAAGACUCAUGAGAUCACCAAGUCCAACCAUCACCUAACGCUAUGAUGCUGAGCUGCCAUAGGAGUGUCAUGUACAUAGUUCUAGCAGAUGAGAACACUCAAAGGUCUUUCGUGCCUUAGACACAGCAUGUCAGACUCAAAGUAUAUAAUCUACAGAGAAGCAUGGCCCAACAGAGAAGGCUCCAAACUCUUGCUUCUAAAUACCUUUUUCUAAGCAGUACUCAUGCAAAAAUCAAAAAAUGUGGCUAUCAAGUGAUACAGCUCUCAUAUACCAUCUGGCAA